rnacentral:lncRNA from 1 species
GGUCGCUAGGGGGAAGGGAUAAUGGUUUUUUUUUUUUUUUUUUUUUAAAUUUCAGGUUUUAAAAAAAAAUUAAAAAUUAUUUUUUUGCCACGUGGCACACAUUUGGCAGCCACGUCAGCACUUAAUGAAUUCAUGGAUGGAAAAUGUAACGGAUGUAUUAUUUUGAAAUAAAAUAGUACUUAAGGUAUGAAAGUGAAAUUUUUUGAAGAUGUUGUAAGGAAUUGAAAUAAGCCCCAAACCUAAGGUAUGAAAAUGUAAUUUACCCAUUAUUUUAAAAGAACCUGAUUGGCAGAAAACAAUUGAGCGUUUGAAUUUGUAGAAGAUCCUUCUCUGAAAGCCGGAUUUGCAUCUCCAAUGCAUUGUAUCACGUUCAACAAAGAAAAAUUAAAUUGAAUCAAUAGCAUGUAGAUCAAUUCCAUAAAAAAAUAAAUUAGUCAUAAAAGAAUGAGUAAAAGGUAAUACUCAUUUAAUUGAAGAAUAAACUCUCUUAGCACAGCAUUAAGAGCAUGCUGAUAACGUGUUGUGGGCAUAAUUUAUUGAACAAUUAUGGAUGCCAGAAAGAGAGAGGGGGUGUGACAUAGAGAGAGAGAAGAGAUGUGUAAUUGUGAGAUGUAUGUUAUCUCACUCUAUUGUGUCUUUAUUAUAGUAGUAUGAUAAGUUAAAUCCUUAUUACAACUCUAAUAUGAUAACAUCUACUAUAAGAGAUAUGGUAAAAUUCCACAAAGAUAUUAUAGAAUUUGUACAAUCACAUUCAUAAUCGAAUAGAACCGCAACAAUCACAUAAUAAAAUGAAAAAAAGGGAGAAAAACAUAAGAAAGAAAAAAAAAGUAAUUAAACAUCAUUAAGACAAAA